rnacentral:lncRNA from 1 species
CUCGCUGCGGCGCGCGCACGUUUUGCGGAGUGGGAGAAGCAGGUCUAACUUCUAGCUGAGGGGUUACCCACCAUCAUCCCAUCUUGGUAAGAAGCCUUGCUCCAAUGCCCUGAUCCAUCCAGGUCUAAAAUACAAGAUGUCUUACAUAUGUGCCAGCAGUCUUACUCAGUAUUACAUAUUAAAACCAUUUUAUAUCCAUGGGAACCCAGUCAACUACUCAUACAUCCAGACCCUAGUUCUGCUGUUCCUUGGCUUAUAGAGGUCAGAGCAAUCCCUCUCCUAAGCUUCAGUUGCUGUAUUCAUAAGGUGGCUUCUCCAGCUGUCCUGCUGCCCAGCUUUCCCUCCUGGUAAGGGCGGAGGAGCUGCCUGUUGGUAGGGAGCACAGCUCAGCAUCCUGUACUUGUGAAGCAGUGGCUUCCUUAAUCUCCAUAGUAACCCUGUGCUGGGAGGGAAGGGAGGGCUGUGCUGAGCCUGGGUUGCUAUCCUAUCAGGGUUGAGCUUGGGGACCCCAUGAUAUUCAGCACUGGGCUCUGACUGCCCCUGAAGAUAUAGUGCCACCCAGGACCUUAGACACCUGGGGAUCUGAGGGCCCCCACUCCAGGGAGGUGCUGGGUGGGGGUGUGGCCCUUUCUACUUCACACAGCUUCUGCAGCAGUGCCCUUCCUGACCCUCUUGCUCUUCCCU